GGAGACGUCUGAUUUCUCCACUUACCUCGACACCGUAAGGUACCAGAGGACGGCUUAAGUAAGCUCAAGUUCGCUAUCCUGAAUAUUAUAGAGUACAGGACGCCAUCGGUGAAUGCAAAAGGGAAUUAGGUUCAACAGUAGAUGAACUCACAAACGUUAAACUUGGGAUCAUAACCCCUGGUACUGGCAGGCAAGUUCUUUGUGUUCAUCGUAGAUUGGGAUAUAUGGAUCUGAAUGGAGACAUUAUCCCUGGUCCGUAUGAGCUACACAUUGCAGCUGUUACUGAUGACAAGGGCCGCCAGGCAGAAUUUAGAAGAUGUGGCGCACCUCAAGGUCUCCUACCUGCCGAAGUUAAAGCUAUUAAUUUUGAUAGAUGUUUCCAAGCCAUUUUACAAAUAAUGGGUCGUGAUGGUUGAUCUAAAAAGCGAUGUAUAAUAUAUUGAUGUGAUAUAAUAAAAUAUAUUCAUUUCGUUUAAA
rnacentral:lncRNA from 1 species